GAUGAACGCUGGCGGCGUGCCUAAUACAUGCAAGUCGAACGCAUAGCGAAAGGUGCUUGCACCUUUCAAGUGAGUGGCGAACGGGUGAGUAACACGUGGACAACCUGCCUCAAGGCUGGGGAUAACAUUUGGAAACAGAUGCUAAUACCGAAUAAAACUUAGUGUCGCAUGACACAAAGUUAAAAGGCGCUUCGGCGUCACCUAGAGAUGGAUCCGCGGUGCAUUAGUUAGUUGGUGGGGUAAAGGCCUACCAAGACAAUGAUGCAUAGCCGAGUUGAGAGACUGAUCGGCCACAUUGGGACUGAGAAACGGCCCAAACUCCUACGGGAGGCUGCAGUAGGGAAUCUUCCACAAUGGGCGAAAGCCUGAUGGAGCAACGCCGCGUGUGUGAUGAAGGCUUCCGGGUCGUAAAGCACUGUUGUAUGGGAAGAACAGCUAGAAUAGGAAAUGAUUUUAGUUUGACGGUACCAUACCAGAAAGGGACGGCUAAAUACGUG
rnacentral:rRNA from 1 species